UCCACUGUCUCCACCCACUCUUCUCCCACAGUUAUUUUCUGGGACACUGCACUAUACAACUUUAUUUGAUGGCAGAACAUUCAGAGGCUGUAAGCUUGACACAUGGCAAAUGGCUUCUGCUGUUUCUGUGUCUCGGUUUGCUCACUUCUAAUGUCCAGUCAAGAAUACCAGGGGUCAACAUAACGUGUGAAAAUCAAUUGGUUAAAGCAGGAAAGAACCAUAACCUGACAUGUAGAGUGGAUUACAGUGCUGAAAAUAACAAUAACUGUACAACUGAACGGUAUUUCUGGAAUCAUAAAUCAAAAACAUAAAAUGUACAAUAGACUGUAACCUGAAGAUUACCAAAACCUACUUUUUUGAGAUAGAAAAUGUUACCAAAGCUGUUGAGGGAAACUACACUUUUUCCAUUAACACAAACUGUGGCGCAGGAAAUGGCAAAUUUUAUGUUUCCGUUACUUUGAGAAAUGAAAAACAAGAAUUUCUGGGAUCGUCAGGUCAUCUAUCGUCAUUAUCAUCACUGUUCUGGGUGUUCUACUGUUUCUCAUCUUAAGACUUAAUAGUUCCUUCAGAAACAAUGACAACACUGACUGUACUCCUGAAGCUACCAGAGAGGCCCUAAACCAGAAGCCUGCAUAACUUUCAGUCUGGAGGAGCUGUGUGUGUGUGUGUGGGUGUGGGUGUUGGUGCUACUAUCCUUGUGGGGACAGAAAUAUCUCAUUUACAUAAGUAGUCAAACUCCUAAGUCAAUACUUUGUAGAAGCACCUUUGGCAGUGAU